GGGGAAAUAACAGACAAUUAAACACAAUUCUCUGGUUUAAUUAAGUGCAAUAAACUAAAUAUAGUUCAAGAAAUAACCAGUCAUCACCUACAAAAUGGGCUUCUAGAAAAUUGCCACUAAAAGGGCCCAAAAACACCUAAUCUAAUUAAGGUUUCUAAAAACAACGAAAUUACACCUAAUGCUCCAAAUGAUGUUUCCAAAAUUUCCCUGCACCCAAAAAUUGGAAUUAAUCAGCUCAGAAAAUUCAAAUUAGUGAAAAUACGAAUUUUUGACCAAAUUAAGCAGAAUUCGGAAAAUGAGGAAAUAACAGACAAUUAAACACAAUUCCCUGGUUUAUUUAAGUGCAAUAAACUAAAUAUAGUUCAAGAAAUAACCACUCAUCAAAAUAGACCACACUUAGUCUUUUGCACUCCUGGGCAAAACCAAGACGAAAACUAGGGAACUACUCAAACAUCAGGGAGGUGACACAGACUCGACAGACAGACAACAAAGACUCACAAAACAGAAACAGAUUUGCACAAUUCUCACAAAAUAUGGACAGUGAAAGGAAGUGGACAGUAUCCAACACAAAAGCAAUGAAAGUAGAUACUCACAGAAUCAUCCAAACAGUUCAGUCCAUGGAAAACAGUCAAUCAGUUCAAGAGAUGAAUCAAAAGCAACAGAACCUCACAGAUGCACACAAUCAGUGUUUCUCUCAAGUGUUUAAGGUAAAUCAAUGUCACUCAAUGCACUCAAGAAAGCAAACACAAAUAGACUUGGCAAGUCUCUAAUAUCAACACUCAAACACAUAUGCAUGUUCAAAUCAAAAGGUCUUUUCAUGGUUGUAAUGGGGCCUAGGACAAGGGAGGAUACAUCUGGAUAAGAAGCUACAAACCAAAAGGAAUAGAGGAGCAAUGGGGAACAAGUGAAAACACAGUCAAAUUACACGCAAACCCUCUAAUUCAAUCCUCUUCUUGACUCCAUCUUUCACACAAUUUUUUUUGUUUUUUUUUUUUAAUUUUUCUCAUUUUUCUGUAUUUUUUUUCAUCUUGUCUCUUUUCUUUUCUCACUUUUCAUAACACAACUCUAAGAGACAAGAUACACAAUAUAUUUACAAAAACACAAACACGAAGAGGAACCAACUAACCAAUUCAUCUGAAUCCCCCCGGGAGACCACACUUAUUCCCAAAACAAUUCCAAAGCUCCAAAAUUCCCU
rnacentral:lncRNA from 1 species